CCUGGUUUCCUUCUAACUUACCAACAUUCCUUCACAGUCUCUUUUGCUGACUCAUUAUCCUCUAUCUUUAAUAAGAGGUUUUUCAGGGCCCUUUUAUUUUCUCACUAUACUCUUUUCCUUGGCCAUUGCCUCUUCAACCAUGACUUCUAUUACAAUAGGAAUGUCAAUCACUUUCACCUGUCUUCAAUUUAGAUCUUUCCUCUAACACCCGGAUAUGUAAUUCAACUCUUAACUUGAUAUCUCACUUGGAAGAGUUACAAGCCUCUCUGAAAAAAAUCCAUACAGGAUGGAAUGCAUGGCAUUUUCUCUGAAACUUCCUCCCUGUCCAGUGUUAUCUACCUUGGAACGAUUGUCUCAUUUAGAGGGACUCUCUAACCUGAGUACACAUUUGAAACAUCUGAGGGCUUUGAAACAUACCUGCUCCUGGACCACCUGCUGAACCAAUUAAAUCAGAAUUUCUGUUGUGAAGAUCUCCACGUGAGUUUAAGCUUUCCUGCUCAACUGUUAGUUCCAUGAAGGCAACAGCCAUGCCUGCUUCGUUCACUGAAAUAUCUUCGUUUCCUAACACACAGAAAGUCAUCAUUUUUUGACGGAUGAAAGAAUGGAUGAAUGCCUAGUCUUGGAGACAUCUACUUGCAAUAAAGGUUAGAUGAAGGAAAUGGAUGCCAGUGGGAGAUUUGUGGAUCUAUUUCACCAGAUUUCACUCUGCUGACUCAGCAAAAUGGUCCCCGAAGAAAGUAUGUAUGAUAUAUGAAUGCCUAGCCACCUGUCUUGGAACAAACAGGGAUUUCUUUAGCUUUCUCCCACCAGGAGAUGCUCCCCUGGCAUUUUUCAAUACUCCUCUUCCCUAAAAGGUGAAGAAACAGAGGCAAAGGGAGCAUAAGCAAUUUUCCAAAGGCCAUACAACAUGUAAGUGGCUGAGCCAAGACUGAAAUCACCAGGUUCUUAACCACUAGGCCAUAUUGCAUUGGAGUGUUGCCUCCUGGAGUAAGACUAGGCUAAAAGCUUCAUAGAAACCUAAAGGAGUUAGAGAAGGAAGAUCUCUCAAUGGAAAUGCUAAGAAGAGACACAAGGAAAGACACAUCACUAAGGAGAGACCCAAGGAAAAUGGCUCUAUGACUACAGUCCAUUUAAAGAAUGAGGGCGUUCCUUCUACCAAGUUACAGGUGGAGAUGUGUUUACCUGCUGGAUACCAAUGCUUCUAGCAUCAGGGAGAAGUUGAGCCCUGGAGGAAACAUUGCCUCUAAGUUUGUGUUCUGCUUUCCUGAAAUCCCACGUAACCCACAAUAGCUCUCAAAAGCUUCAAAAAAUAGUGAUGAAAAAGGUUAACUCUGAUGCUGUUCUGGAGCUGAAAGCAGAUUUUGACCUUGGAUAAACAUGCUGGAUUUUCGCUAUUGAAUGUAUUGGGCACAAUUCAAGGUGCUACAUACUGCAAAGCAAAGUAUCUACAACAACUGCAAUAAGCCACCCUGAUCAUUCUUCAACCUAAAGAUUUGCAACUCAUCCAAGUUCAACUGGUUGAAAGAGCCUGCCUCCUCACAGCAGUGCCUGAUUGACACUAUGAACUGAAAUACUAAAGGCACUUCUUCUUUCAGGAUAACUGAUUAAAUGUUCUGGCUGGUAAAGCAGGUCAUCACUCAACUGUUGUGGCUUUGGCAAGAUGCCACCAAAGCAGCCCAUCAUGGUUGGCAGAGAUGUAAAGGCCCCACAUAUUACAGAACACCCUUUGAUAUGCAGACUAAUUAAUAGAAGACCUAAGCCUUUCAAGGGACUUCUAUACCAUAGGAUGUUAGGAGACAUCAAGAACACAAAUGAAACUAAGAUUUUCAUACAGGGUUCAGGUUUUGUUACUUCAGAUCUAUAAUCUAAAGUUCUGUAAUCAUCACAUCACUCCAAGAACAAAAUUUGAUAGGCAAAAUUCUUCACACUCAUUUCAUGGAGAACCUUGAGGGUCCAGAGUGAGGCUUGAUGGCAAGCAGGAGCUCCCUGUCCCCUGUCUCCACCCAUGCAACCCCUAGCUCCCCCAUUGUUUUCACUCUAGAUUUGUGAAGUAUAACAACCUUAAAAUCUUAAGAUUUAAUCUUUAAAUAUUAAGAGAUUUGGGUUUCUGUAUCAACAAUCUUUAAAUAUUAAGAGAUUUUUCCGAAGAUUAAUGACUUUCCUAGAGUUGGCCUACAAAUUCACCACCUCAACUGGAUGACUUGCUUUGGAAUAAAUUUCUAACACCGCAAGUGAAUUGAAUAUUUUCUUCCUUUUUUAUGUAAUCUAAUAUAGUACAUUUUUAAAAAUUUAUAGGAUGUCCAGACACUUAUAGCUUAUCAUUCUAUGAUUCAAAAGAAUUUGGUAUAAUUGCAUUGAUAAGCUUACUGCCCUGGGCACCAAAGUAACCUAGAAUAUGGAGAAGUAGCUUUUGGUGACAUGCAUCUAUUUAUAUCUCUAGCAUUUACUAAUUAAUUAAUUUGUUUAACAAAUACACAUUCAGUACCAUUAUAUGUUUGGCAUUGUCAUAGAUGUUAGAAAAUCAAAUAUAAAAAAGAGGUAAUUUCUUCACAACACACGGAAAUAAGAGUAUCUCUAGGAAUUGUCUCUAGUUGAAAUUGUUUUCUCCUACCCACCUCUACGAUUCAUCAAUUUAGCUUUCCUUCACUGUAGUGACAGGUGUUUUAAUCUCACCUAACAAUAUGCCUGAUUAAGCUUCAACAUACACAGAGAGAGGCCUGAAAAACAUAACUUGGUCUCUAUGUCUAAGUUUAUGUUGUUAGUAAUAGUUAUAAGAGCCACAGCGAUGGCACCAUGGCGUUACCUUCUCUGAAGGCUUUCCCAGCUUUCCUAGCAAAGCUCUUUUCUCUUCCCUCUGGUUAAAAAAUAAAUAAAAAAAAAAUAAAGGUUUUUCCUUUAUUGUUAUUCUUAUGUGUCUGAUUUUAUCACAUUUAUUGUUUUGUUUUCUGAUUGUAUAAGUCAUACAUGCUCAUUUAGAAAACUUGGAAACUAUGGAAAAAGAGAAAUAAAAAAUAAAAUCCAC
rnacentral:lncRNA from 10 species